rnacentral:rRNA from 1 species
AGAGUUUGAUCAUGGCUCAGGAUGAACGCUGGCGGCGUGCUUAACACAUGCAAGUCGAACGAUGAAGCCCAGCUUGCUGGGUGGAUUAGUGGCGAACGGGUGAGUAACACGUGAGUAACCUGCCCUUAACUCUGGGAUAAGCCUGGGAAACUGGGUCUAAUACCGGAUAGGAGCGCCUACCGCAUGGUGGGUGUUGGAAAGAUUUAUCGGUUUUGGAUGGACUCGCGGCCUAUCAGCUUGUUGGUGAGGUAAUGGCUCACCAAGGCGACGACGGGUAGCCGGCCUGAGAGGGUGACCGGCCACACUGGGACUGAGACACGGCCCAGACUCCUACGGGAGGCAGCAGUGGGGAAUAUUGCACAAUGGGCGCAAGCCUGAUGCAGCGACGCCGCGUGAGGGAUGACGGCCUUCGGGUUGUAAACCUCUUUCAGUAGGGAAGAAGCGAAAGUGACGGUACC